UGGGGAAUAUUGGACAAUGGGCGAAAGCCUGAUCCAGCAAUGCCGCGUGUGUGAAGAAGGUCUUCGGAUUGUAAAGCACUUUCGACGGGGACGAUGAUGACGGUACCCGUAGAAGAAGCCCCCGGCUAACUUCGUGCCGG
rnacentral:rRNA from 1 species